CAAAGGUUACUUUUUGGGCCACCUCCCAUCCGUGUCUAUUGUACCCUGUUGCUUCGGCGGGCCCGCCGCUUGUCGGCCGCCGGGGGGGCGCCUCUGCCCCCCGGGCCCGUGCCCGCCGGAGACCCCAACACGAACACUGUCUGAAAGCGUGCAGUCUGAGUUGAUUGAAUGCAAUCAGUUAAAACUUUCAACAAUGGAUCUCUUGGUUCCGGCAUCGAUGAAGAACGCAGCGAAAUGCGAUAACUAAUGUGAAUUGCAGAAUUCAGUGAAUCAUCGAGUCUUUGAACGCACAUUGCGCCCCCUGGUAUUCCGGGGGGCAUGCCUGUCCGAGCGUCAUUGCUGCCCUCAAGCCCGGCUUGUGUGUUGGGUCGCCGUCCCCCUCUCCGGGGGGACGGGCCCGAAAGGCAGCGGCGGCACCGCGUCCGAUCCUCGAGCGUAUGGGGCUUUGUCACAUGCUCUGUAGGAUUGGCCGGCGCCUGCCGACGUUUUCCAACCAUUCUUUCCAGGUUGACCUCGGAUCAGGUAGGGAUACCCGCUGAACUUAAGCAUAUCAAUAAGGCGGAGGAA
rnacentral:rRNA from 1 species